rnacentral:rRNA from 1 species
CUACACGGGUAUCUAAUCCUGUUUGCUCCCCACGCUUUCGCACCUCAGCGUCAAUACCUGUCCAGCGAGUCGCCUUCGCCACUGGUGUUCUUCCGAAUAUCUACGAAUUUCACCUCUACACUCGGAAUUCCACUCGCCUCUCCAGGAUUCUAGCAUACUAGUUUCAAGGGCAGUUCCGGGGUUGAGCCCCGGGAUUUCACCCCUGACUUGAUACGCCGCCUACGCGCGCUUUACGCCCAGUAAUUCCGAACAACGCUAGCUCCCUCCGUAUUACCGCGGCUGCUGGCAC